rnacentral:rRNA from 1 species
UACGAAGGGUGCAAGCGUUACUCGGAAUUACUGGCGUAAAGCGUGCGUAGGUGGUUUGUUAAGUCUGAUGUGAAAGCCCUGGCUCAACCUGGAACGGCAUUGGAAACUGGCUACUAGAGUGCGGUAGAGGGUGUGGAAUUCCCGGUGUAGCAGUGAAUGCGUAGAUAUCGGGAGGAACAUCUGUGGCGAAGCGACACCUGGACCAGCACUGACACUGAGCACGAAGCGUGGAGCAACAGG